AUCCAAGUCGGCUGAAUUUCUGAUGUUAAAGAAGAUAGAGAAGCUACAGAAGGCACUGGAAAUCCAGCUUUUAACAUGAGCAGUCCAGAUCUCUCAGCAUGUCAGACUGCAGAAAAGAAAGUUAUUAGACACGACAUGCCGGAUCGCACCCUUGCAGCUCACCAACAAAAAUUCAGGCUGCCAGCCUCUGCAGAACCAAAAGAAAUGAAUACGGCAGAAAUUACUUUGACCCACUGAUGGAUGAGGAAAUAAACCCAAGGCAGUGUGCGACGGAGGUCAGCAGAGAAGUGCUCCCUCAAAGGAAAAAGGAGCAUUCCUAAAAAAAUCGGUCCCUGUUCUAUGGACUAUGAUCCCAAUCUCUUAGAAGAAGACGAUGAACUACACUCUCAGGAGAUAGCCUGACGGAUCAUUCUGUGAAAGGAAAAUCAACUGUUUGGAGAAUUGGAGAAGCUGAAGAUUAUUCACAGGACAUAUCUUACUUGGAGGAACUGGAGGAACACCGAUUUUCUGUUUCUGUUCUUCAGUUGCUGAUAGUAGAUAUGGAGACUUCUU
rnacentral:lncRNA from 1 species